rnacentral:rRNA from 1 species
GAUGAACGCUGGCGGCGUGCCUAAUACAUGCAAGUCGAGCGAACGGACGAGAAGCUUGCUUCUCUGAUGUUAGCGGCGGACGGGUGAGUAACACGUGGAUAACCUACCUAUAAGACUGGGAUAACUUCGGAAAACCGGAGCUAAUACCGGAUAAUAUUUUGAACCGCAUGGUUCAAAAGUGAAAGACGGUCUUGCUGUCACUUAUAGAUGGAUCCGCGCUGCAUUAGCUAGUUGGUAAGGUAACGGCUUACCAAGGCAACGAUGCAUAGCCGACCUGAGAGGGUGAUCGGCCACACUGGAACUGAGACACGGUCCAGACUCCUACGGGAGGCAGCAGUAGGGAAUCUUCCGCAAUGGGCGAAAGCCUGACGGAGCGACGCCGCGUGAGUGAUGAAGGUCUUCGGAUCGUAAAACUCUGUUAUUAGGGAAGAACAUAUGUGUAAGUAACUGUGCACAUCUUGACGGUACCUAAUCAGAAAGCCACGGCUAACUACGUG